rnacentral:rRNA from 1 species
UACGUAGGGUCCGAGCGUUGUCCGGAGUUACUGGGCGUAAAGGGCGCGCAGGCGGCGGUGCUGGCCCGGCGUGAAAGCCCCCGGCUCAACCGGGGAGGGUCGUCGGGACCGCACCGCUUGAGGGCGGUAGGGGCUGGUGGAAUGCCUGGUGUAGUGGUGAAAUGCGUAGAGAUCAGGCGGAACACCCGUGGCGAAGGCGGCCAGCUGGGCCGACCCUGACGCUGAGGCGCGAAGGCGUGGGGAGCGAACGGGAUUAGAAACCCUA